rnacentral:rRNA from 1 species
UACGUAGGGCGCAAGCGUUGUCCGGAAUUAUUGGGCGUAAAGAGCUCGUAGGCGGUUUGUCGCGUCUGGUGUGAAAACUCAAGGCUUAACCUUGAGCUUGCAUCCGGUACGGGCAGACUAGAGUGUGGUAGGGGAGACUGGAAUUCCUGGUGUAGCGGUGGAAUGCGCAGAUAUCAGGAGGAACACCGAUGGCGAAGGCAGGUCUCUGGGCCACUACUGACGCUGAGGAGCGAAAGCAUGGGUAGCGAACAGGAUUAGA